rnacentral:rRNA from 1 species
AUGAGGAAUUCCGCCGGAGAGCUCGGGCAUAGCACCUCUCGGAAGAUGACAGACGCUUUGUGUAUGUUGGCAUACGGUAUCCCCGCUGAUCUAGUUGAUGAUCACUUGGCCAUGGAUGAGAGUCAAGCCAUCAUGUGUGUCAAGCGCUUCGCAGUCGGAAUUGUGCAAGUGUUUGGACAGGAGUAUUUGAGAUCUCCCAAUGUUGAAGACGCCACAAGGCUAUUGGAGAUGAACAAAGCUCGCGGCAUCCCAUGUAUGCUUGGCUCAAUAGAUUGCAUGCACUGGAGUUGGAAGAAUUGUCCUAUGGCAUGUCAUGGGCAAUUCCACGGCCAAAAAAGGGGUUCCACUAUAAUCCUUGAAGCGGUGGGCGAUCAAGACACUUGCAUUUGGCAUGCUUUUAUUGGAAUAUCUGGA